ensembl:lncRNA
UUGUGAAUUUCCUCAACGUGGACAGAAAGGUUAAAGCAAUAAGAACCUGUGGUCACUGACCUUCCUUGGAGCCUGGUUUCUGAAAGCACUUAUGUUGAUGUGUCAGCCUAACUCUCUAGAGCUUACAGGAAAACUAUGCUCUACUCCGGAAGCUGCUAUGAGCCAGCGGCUAUGAACUUGUGGCCCAACCACAGGGAAUCAGGAACUUCUGAGUUACAGCCCAGACUCAACUGAUCCUCGCUGACUGACCUCAAUAUCCAUCUGAAAACAGUUACAGAAGCCCUGGGAACAAACUGGCUGACACUUCUGCGUUGCUCAUCACCUCAGUGAAGAUCCAGCGGACGGCCACCCUGGACCUUCUGUUACCACCCACCCAAUAGACACGUGUGGAUGUACUCAGUCAUGCCCGACUCUUUGCAACCCCACGGACUGUAGCCGGCCAGGCUCCAGCUGUCCAUGGGAUUGUUCAGGCAAGAAUACUGAAGUGGGUUGCCAUUUUCUCCUCCAGAGGACCUUCCUGAUCCAGGGAUCAAGUUUGCAUCUCCUGAGUCUCCUUCAUGGGCAGGCAGAUUCUUUCCCACACCUGGGAAGCCCCUUAAACUUUAGACUCAGCCAUAAUCUGUAAG